UACGUAGGGGGCGAGCGUUGUCCGGAAUUACUGGGUGUAAAGGGCUCGUAGGCGGGCAAGUAAGUUGCCGACGAAAACCCAGGGCUCAACCCUGGAUUGAUCGGCAAUACUGCUUACCUUGAGGACAGGAGAGGAGAGUGGAAUUCCUGGUGUAGCGGUGAAAUGCGUAGAUAUCAGGAGGAACACCAGUGGCGAAGGCGGCUCUCUGGCCUGUCCCUGACGCUGAGGAGCGAAAGCCAGGGGAG
rnacentral:rRNA from 1 species